CACGUUGGUACUACCCUCUAGUGGGGAAUAACUUCGAGAAAUCGAGGCUAAUACCGCAUAAUAUCUACGGAUUAAAGCAUUUAUGCGCUAGAGAGGGGCCUGCGUCUGAUUAGCUUGUUGGUGAGGUAAAAGCUCACCAAGGCGACGAUCAGUAGCUGGAUCGAGAGGUUGACCAGCCACACUGGGACUGAGAUACGGCCCAGACUCCUACGGGAGGCAGCAGUAAGGAAUCUUCCACAAUGGGCGAAAGCCUGAUGGAGCAAUGCCGCGUGCAGGAUGACGGCCUUCGGGUUGUAAACUGCUUUUAUAUGGGAAGAUUAUGACGGUACCAUAUGAAUAAGGACCGGCUAACUACGUG
rnacentral:rRNA from 1 species